GACGAACCGAGCGAACGUUGUUCGGAAUCACUGGGCUUAAAGGGCGCGUAGGCGGGCCGCCGCGUCCGGGGUGAAAUCCUCCCGCUCAACGGGAGAACGGCCUCGGAUACGGGCGGCCUGGAGGGGGGUAGGGGCGUGCGGAAUUGUGGGUGGAGCGGUGAAAUGCGUUGAUAUCCACAGGAACUCCGGUGGCGAAGGCGGCACGCUGGACCCCACCUGACGCUGAGGCGCGAAAGCCAGGGGAGCGAACGGG
rnacentral:rRNA from 1 species